AACGCUGGCAUCAUGCCUAACAGAUGCAAUUCGAACUGGACGAUUAUGCACCUUGAUCUCUUAAUGGUCACCGCCUUACUGAUGAGGAAUGUAUCCGAAUCUGCCACGUCGUGGGGGAUACUCCGGGGAAACCCUGAUUAUUACCGCAUACGACCUUCAAGUGAAAGCGGGGGAUCCUUCAGGGCCUCGCGUUAUUGGAUGAUCUCAUGCCCGAUUAGCUUGUUGGCCGCGUAAUGGCCCACCAAUGCGACAUAUCCCUACCUGGUCUGAUAGGAUGAUCAGCCACACUGGGACUGAGACAGUGCCCAGACUCCUACCGGAGGCAGCACUGG
rnacentral:rRNA from 1 species